GUUAAUGUAGCUUAAAAAAAAGCGCGGCACUGAAGUUGCCGAGACGAGAAAUGAAUUCUCCAAAAACA
rnacentral:tRNA from 1 species